CGGAGCGUUGCCGGUCAGUGCCUGUCGCGGCGUCGCUCGUGGAGCGGGGCGUCCCGAAGUGGGCCUGCGGGCGGGCGAGCGAGCGGACGACACUGCGGGUACAAAACUCAAAAGAUGAACAACGAUAUAUAUUACCAAUGUUCAAAGCUGAUUUGGCUAGAACUGGAAUACAGUUGCCUACAAUAUAUUCUAGAGGAAUUAGAAAAGUCAAAGUAAUGGAUAACAGAAAAGAGCCUCCAUUCUUCAAUGAAGAUAAUGUGGGACCAUUUUACUACAAACUUCCUUUCUGUGAUACCAUGGAGCUCUUCAUUGAAACAUUAACUGGAACAUGUUUUGAGCUGAGAGUUUCUCCCUUUGAAGCUGUUAUUUCUGUGAAAGCAAAAAUUCAAAGAUUGGAAGUUUCUUAUAGCCCAUGGGCUGUGACAGUCAAUCUGUUCUUCAUGAAGCUUCAAGAGGGCAGCCUCAUGAAAAGUAUUCCCAUCUGUCAGCAACACUUAAUUUGGAAUAACAUGGAACUUGAAGAUGAUUAUUGCUUGAAUGAUUACAACAUUUCAGAAGGUUGUACCUUGAAGCUGGUAUUGGCUAUGCGUGGUGGACCUAUAAAUACUAGACGAGUUCCUGUGGAAGAUCCACUUAGGGAGAUGGCUGAGUACCUGGAUUCCAGUCGAGAUGAGGUCUGGGAGAAGACCUCCUGCAACAAACAAAUAACAUUUUUGGUAUAUCGAGAAGGAGAUCAAUUGAAUUUCUUUUGUGUAAUAGAUAGGGGAGAUGGCACUUUAACACCAUUAUCUGAAUCUUUAAGCGGUGGUUCUGUGUAUAAUUUAUAUACGGAUGAGGAUGAAGAAAUUGAGCCUUCUCCUUCUGGACAACAGAUAAUUGAAAAUUCAAUAACUAUGAAUAAGAUGAAGCUACUGAAGGCUAAGAUGGGGAGCAUGAAUCUCAGCAAAAAGCCUAAGAAAGCUGUCAAAGUAAAACCUCGCCCACCUAUUGCUCCUCGACCAUCUAGUGGUUCCACAGCAACAGCUCGUCACAGAUUGUUAAGGGUCCUCCCCCACAUCGGGCAAUCUUGUUUACCUUCUCCUGGGAAUACAUAUCUACCUGACACAUCCAGGAGUGCAGUUUCAACAUUGGCAACUCAGCCCCCUGCCAACAGACCCAUAUCAUCUAUCACUAGUGAAUUCCUUAAGGAAGAUGAUAACUGGGAGAGUAACACACUGUCUCAUUCCAAUGGUAGCAUCAAACUACCACUGCACAUACCCCAUGUGGAGUUUGAAAAUGACAAAGAGCUUGCUGAUUCUGUUCUCCAUCUUGGAUCAUCCCUGACUAGGCGGACAAAACAUUUUUCAGGAAACUUGACAUCUAAUAAUGAGGAUGACACUGUCUCAUUUCCAACUUCAGAAGAGUGUGUAACUGAAGACUCACUUCUACCUGAAGUGGGUUCAUGUACUUCAUUUACAGAAAGAAAUGCUGAAGAACAGAGCAGUGGCAUACAGAAGGUAAAUUCAGAAUUCUUACUCACUAAUGGUGAUAAAGGGUUGAAGGCUACAGAACAGCAUCUUAAACAUGUUUCAAGAAUGUUGAGCAGUGAAUCAGUAGAGACUACUGUUCUUAACCACCGUGAAUUAAGUCCUCACAAGAAUAGACUCUUGUCACCUCUUCGCUGUUCUGCAUCAAUGUCACUACAUAAUUCUCUAGUGAAACCACAGAGACAGUCCAAAUGUUUUGAGUCUGGGAACCUCCAGUCUUCUGCUUCACAAAAUGUGCUCCGGUCAAUGGAUGUUCGAAACAUAACUGAUUCUCCUUUCUCUAGGACUGCUCGCUUUCGAGGUGUUAAAGUUGAUUCAUCUGGGAAAAGAUCUGAUAUUAUUUCCAAAGUUGAGGCUCGAGAUAUCACAGAAAUGGCUAACAAGGCUUCCAAAGAGCCUGUUGGUUGUGUAAAUAACAUUGGUUUUCUUGCUUCACUGGCCGGGAGUGCAAGCAGAGACAGUUUACAGAGCACACGUGGGGCAGGCAGGCUUCGGACUUCUGGAAUUGGGCUGUCUACAAACCUCCAGCAUUUUCAAGAAGAAAGCCUUAAGAAAAGUUCUCCCCAAUUAGAACCUACAGAAUUUUUUUUAAUGUUUUGUGUUUUAAUUGUAGUCUGCCCGUGGUAUUGGAAUGAAUGGAAAUAAUGCAGCAGCAGGGAAAAGAGUAGGAGAAUGUACUCAUCACCUCCCACCUGUGAAAGCCCCUAUUCAAACAAAGAAGAAAACAAAAAAGCAUUGUUUUCUUUGUGGAAAGAAAACAGGACUGGCUACUAGCUACGAAUGCAGAUGUGGAAAGAACUUCUGUGCAUCUCAUCGCUAUGCAGAAACUCACGGCUGCACCUAUGAUUACAAGAGUGCAGGGAGGAGAUACUUGCAGGAGGCAAAUCCUGUGAUUAAUGCACCAAAACUUCCAAAAAUCUAACUCUUCCUCUGCAUCUUACUGUUCUGCCUGAGGAAUCGUAUUAUAACAAAAGAAGAAAUAUUGUUUAGACUGCAUUAUUUUUGUCCGACUCCAAAAGAUUUGCCAAAGCCAAAUAACAAAAGCAUAUAAUGCAUACCAUUGGAGAAUGAGAAUGCUACUGUAUUUGACAUCUUUAUUCUUUGGUGAAUCAAAAGCUUUAAAAGUAGUUUUAAAAACUUUACACUAUAUGAUUUAGUUUUGUUAUUGCAUGUCUUGUGUUAAGUGUUUUGUAUUUGAUAUUGCAGUUUUGCUAGACAAGUCUUCAAAAGAUGCACUUUAGGAAGUUAAUAUUGACUGUGUAACCAGGCUUCCAUGCUGUAUGGAAAUUAGUGGUCAUGUGAUGGCUGUACUCAAAUUGACCAUUUUUUUCCCCUUCCUUUCUCUCUCUUUCUCUCUCUCUCUCUUUCUCCCUCUCUUUCUCCCUCUCUUUCUCCCUUUCUUUUUCUUUCUUUUUUUUGCAGAGGCGAAAUGGGUGGGGAUUUAAAAAUAAUAUUCCAUGUGCCCAUGUGUGAAAGUUUACUGGGUUUAUUAGCAAGUUCUUUUUUAUUUCAAGCUACUUUUUAUAAAAACAUUUGGUUUUCCCAUGUGUUUUUUAAAACAUAUAUAUUUCUUUCACAUUCAUAUUGGCAUUCAUAUAUGUAUCUAUUCUGUAAAACACAUCAUGUUAAUAGUAUAUAUUUCUUAAAAACACUAUUUUGAAUGGUAGUUUUAAAAUAGAUGUCCCACUUGUUGCUAUUAAAUACAGAAACCAACGUUUCCCUUUUUGAAAAAUGUCUACAUUUAAAACAAAAUCUCACAGCUUGAUUUGUUUUUCUUACAUGUUGAGUGCUAUUACCAGGAGAAAUUCAAAUAAAUAUUCAGUUUCAUUAUGAGUUUGAUUACUUGGUUAUUUACAAGAAUUUUUCCUUCAUAAACACAUCUUUUAUAAAACCAUUUAAUUAAAAUAAACCAGUAAUUUAUUCUCCUUGGACAAAAUGACUAUCAGUAGAAAAGUAUUCUUUUAGGUGUAAGGAUGCUGCUCCCCAGGUGUAACCAAUAUACCAUUCAGACUUUGGGGAGGCCAUUUGCUUUACAGAGGCUCAGUUGAAGCUGAUGCUGAACCAUAAUAAACAACUGAAGUGAACUGCAGCUCUGGGCUCUGCAGGGGUACCAGGAGACUAAUUUAGGGGCUAUACAGGGCCUCUUCUUCCACACAAGGUUGAUUGAACUGGAGAGCUCACUUCCUUUGCUCCCUAUGAAAGAUUAAAUGUCAGUGAAGACAGAUGUCUUCAGAGAAAGAGGGAAGUACAUUUACAAGAGGUGAUGGUGAAAAAUUAGCAAAGGAGCCAUGCAAUGAGAAGUUGAAGGCAUGCUUUUUAAGAGGAGUGGAUAUAGGUCGAUGAAAAAUAAUUUCUUCUGUGUUAGUAAUUCAGUUUUUUUCGUCUCUUACCAAGAAAACAUGUGCUUUAGAUAUUUAAAAUAUAAGAAUUCUGGUAUAUGGAUAGACUGCUGAAAAAUGGACCAAAGCAUAUUUAUUCUCUAAAUAAAUAUGAAUGCUUAGGGCAUACUUGAUA